GAUAUUGAGUGCGGAAAACCACAUCUUCCUAACGGACGCAUUAGGAUACGCACCGGUGUAAGCAUAACAGAAUUACCAGCCUGCUGAGUGAGGAGAAGACACUCACGAUCAAUCUCAAUUAUCACACGGAGUCAUCGACGGGAAAAUUCAUGCGAUCAAAGCCUGAAGUGUGAAGUACACGACUUGAACCAUCCAAACAGCAAGGCAAAGCAUAGGUGACAAACAUCGAUCCAGGAUCCACUCGUAGAUAUAUGGUGCGCCCGAUCGAAGCAGUACCGUUAUCAAUAAC